rnacentral:rRNA from 1 species
AAAUUGAAGAGUUUGAUCAUGGCUCAGAUUGAACGCUGGCGGCAGGCCUAACACAUGCAAGUCGAACGGUAGCACAGAGAGCUUGCUCUCGGGUGACGAGUGGCGGACGGGUGAGUAAUGUCUGGGAAACUGCCCGAUGGAGGGGGAUAACUACUGGAAACGGUAGCUAAUACCGCAUAACGUCGCAAGACCAAAGAGGGGGACCUUC